GAGUGUGCAGUCGAGCGAACAGAUAAGGAGUUGCUUCUUGACGUUAGCGGCGGACGGUGAUGAACACGUGGCACCUACCUUAUAGUGCUGGGAUAACUCUGGAAACCCGGGGCUAAUACCCGAAUAAUCUGUUCACCUCAUGGUGAAAUAUUGAAAGACGUUCUACGUGCGCUUGAUGGGCCCACUCGCAUUAUCUACUCUGGUGAGGUAACCAGCUCACCAAGGCGACGAUCGGUAGCCGCCUGAGACGGUGAUCGUCACACUUGGACUAUACACGGACCAGACUCCUCCUGAGGCAUGGAGGGAAUCUUCCCAAUGGGGCGAAACCUAUAUGAGCACUGACAUCUGAGGAAGGAAUGAUUUCCGGACUAAACCUAUGUUGUAACGGGAACGAACUGGCCAGUACCAUCUUGCUUGUCCUUGACGGGCCCUUAUUUGGAAGCCACUGCUUAUUACGUGGCAAACGGGCUGGAAAUACCCUGGGGGAAGGUUGUCCCGGAUAAUUUAGGCAAAGCGCCCCCCCGUGGGUGGUUACCCUUAAAUGAUUGCACUGGUUAAUCGGGAACGGCUUCGAAAACCUGGGGGAUUUUGGUAAUUUGGUUCUUUAGGGUU
rnacentral:rRNA from 1 species